CCUGGCGGUUCCUGUCUGUCUAUCAGAGGAGACUCUAAGUCACUGUCAUCCAAGAAGUCCCCAACAGAGGCUAAGCGCUAUACAAUACUGAAGGAGAAUGAACAAGGCUGAACCUUACCGUAUUGAGCUAGGAAAAAUUCACAUGCUAAUGAAAAAAAAGAAGAAGCCAGGUAACUUAAGGAAGGAUACUACAGUACAAUAGCACUCAGGAAAGGAAGAGGAUGGAACUCCAGGGGCACAAAAGAAAAAAAAAAUAACAAAAUAAAAUAAAAAG